GCUAAGAAUAUUCCGCAAUGGACGAAAGUCUGACGGAGCGACGCCGCGUGGAUGAUGAAGGCCGGAAGGUUGUAAAAUCCUUUUAUGACUGAGGAAUAAGCAGUGUGAGAGAAACGCAUUGUGGUGACUGUAGGUCAUGAAUAAGCAACGGCUAAUUACGUGCCAGCAGCCGCGGUAACACGUAAGUUGCGAGCGUUGUUCGGAAUUAUUGGGCGUAAAGGGCAUGUAGGCGGUUCUGCAAGUCUGGUGUGAAAUACCGGGGCUCAACCCCGGAACUGCGUUGGAAACUGCAGGACUUGAAUCGCUGAGGGGCAGCCAGAAUUCCAGGUGUAGGGGUGAAAUCUGUAGAUAUCUGGAAGAAUACCAAUGGCGAAGGCAGGCUGCCAGCAGAUGAUUGACGCUGAGGUGCGAAGGUGCGGGGAGCAAACAGG
rnacentral:rRNA from 1 species